GCUGAUGAGGUGAGCGCGUGCGGAGCUCGUGGCAUAAGAUGGAGGCGCGCCGCGGGGAGGGCGUCUGCUACGGCCGGCGAGGAGCGAGUCUUGCAGCAGGGAGGCAGCGCUACAUGGAGGAAUAUGUGUAAGGAAUAAUGCUGCUGGGCUAAACCUCAUGCCAGUAUUUGUGUGACACUGUGGGACUUUACGGUCAUUGCUGCGUUUCAGACCAGGGCACAGUUAGCUAAGCAGAGUGACCUGAUUCAUGCUGGAUCAACAUGUUAUCAACUUGAGGUUGUCACUACAAA